UGAGAUUUCAAAAUAAAAUGGGAUUUUAACUGUUUCUGCUUCCAGUUCUAAUCUAUAUCUGUCUUAAAGUUAUAAUAUGAUGUAUGAAAGUGUUGUUAGAAAGUAAUUCUCAAAGGAAAAUGAAACUUAUACUUCAGAUGACUUUACAUUUAUUAAUAUUUUUAGAAUCAUACUUUAGCAUACAGUAUUUAAAUUAACAUGUGAAAACAAGCCUACCGUAGUAUCUGGUUGAAGUCCCUGAGUUUUCCUGUGCAUUAGUCCCAAGUGGGAGAGUGAAUGAGCAAAGCUGUGGAAUUGCUUCAAACUGCUGAAUAAAGUUUCAGGGCCCAGCAGCUUAACUCCCAUGUGGAAUUCAACAGCAGAUUCCAUGUGGUGGAAGUCCUGGCCAACAUUCCUUCUCGGGGUGAACUGCAGGGUGUUACAUGGGAGAAUGUACUGAAGACACUUGAAGUUGCAGCACCAGGGCAGCUACAGCAUGCUGCCGUCUGCCCUGUUACCCUGUGCACGAAUCUUUUAGUGAAUGCUAGUUUAUAAAUCUUUUUAAAAUCUGGCCUUUAUUUUUGUGCCUUUCUGGUAUAGAAGACAUUUACUUUUGAAUGAAAUAGAACACCAAACUGAGCAUAGUCUUUGUUCUUAAUUUAAUGAGAACUAAGAAUUUUGUCCCCAUACUAUAAUUAAUACAUUAAAAAUUUAUAUAUAAAGUAAGUUUUAAAACAGAUUAUUUUAUAGAUUUGUCCUUUAGGGUGGUGGGUGUUGUUUUCUGGGGGUUGGGGAGCAUUCAAGAUAAGGUUUCUCUAUAUAGCCUUGGCUGUCUUGGAAUUCACUUUAAGAAGAGGCUGGCCUUGGACUCAGAUCUACCUGCCUCUGCCUCCUGAGUGCUAGAUUAAAGGUGUGUGCCACCACCUCCUGGCUGUCCUUUGGUUUUAAAACCCUUUAUUUUAGUUCAUAAGAGUGUGAAAAUAGUUUGAUUCCAUAAUUUUGUAAUAGCAAAAAUUUUUACUGAAUGAAAUUUUAUAUUUACUCUUAGAAAACUCAAGUAGGGAGAGGGUGUAGUGGUGAACACCUUUAAUCCUUUAAUCCCAGCACCUAGGAGGCAUAGACAGGUGGAUCUCUGCUGGUUCAGCCUACACCGUGAAUUCCAGGUCAUCCAGGGCUACAUAAUGAGACUGUCUUAAAAAAAAAAAACAAAAAACAAAAA
rnacentral:lncRNA from 14 species